rnacentral:rRNA from 1 species
AACUGAAGCUUCGGCAGAUGUUUCUAGUGGCGGACGGGUGAGUAACGCGUGGGCACCUGCCUUAUACAGGGGGAUAACAGUCAGAAAUGACUGCUAAUACCGCAUAAGGCUGCAUGGCGAAAAACUCCGGUGGUAUAAGAUGGACCCGCGUUGGAUUAGCUGGUUGGUGAGGUAACGGCCCACCAAGGCGACGAUCCAUAGCCGGCCUGAGAGGGUGAACGGCCACAUUGGGACUGAGACACGGCCCAGACUCCUACGGGAGGCAGCAGUGGGGAAUAUUGCACAAUGGGGGAAACCCUGAUGCAGCGACGCCGCGUGAAGGAAGAAGUAUCUCGGUAUGUAAACUUCUAUCAGCAGGGAAGAAAAUGACGGUACCUGACUAAGAAGCCCCGGCUAACUACGUGCCAGCAGCCGCGGUAAUACGUAGGGGGCAAGCGUUAUCCGGAUUUACUGGGUGUAAAGGGAGCGUAGACGGAUGGACAAGUCUGAUGUGAAAGGCUGGGGCUCAACCCCGGGACUGCAUUGGAAACUGCCCGUCUUGAGUGCCGGAGAGGUAAGCGGAAUUCCUAGUGUAGCGGUGAAAUGCGUAGAUAUUAGGAGGAACACCAGUGGCGAAGGCGGCUUACUGGACGGUAACUGACGUUGAGGCUCGAAAGC